AAAGUCGUAACAAGGUAACCGUAGGUGAACCUGCGGUUGGAUCAUUAUUGAUAAUUUUAUGAUCGGGUCUCUGUCACGAGAUCCGAGGUUUUGCCUGUGAUCUGUCGUUUCGGCGAUGGACGCGGGCAACUACCGAAUACUUUGUGUGCACUCUAAAUCGUAUCCAGAUUGUGGAAGUGGUGAAAUUUCACUACUUUCCCCUGGAUAUCAUUACCAUUUGUAGUUGAGUUAUCUAGUCUGACAAACUUUUGUUAAUUAUAAUCAUAAUAAAAACAACUUUUGGCAACGGAUCUCUUGGCUCUC
rnacentral:misc_RNA from 1 species